rnacentral:rRNA from 1 species
GACGAACGCUGGCGGCGUGCCUAAUACAUGCAAGUUGAGCGAUGAAGAUUGGUGCUUGCACCAAUUUGAAGAGCAGCGAACGGGUGAGUAACGCGUGGGUAAUCUGCCUUUGAGCGGGGGACAACAUUUGGAAACGAAUGCUAAUACCGCAUAACAACUUUAAACAUAAGUUUUAAGUUUGAAAGAUGCAAUUGCAUCACUCAAAGAUGAUCCCGCGUUGUAUUAGCUAGUUUGUGAGGUAAAGGCUCACCAAGGCGAUGAUACAUAGCCGACCUGAGAGGGUGAUCGGCCCAAUUGGGAAUGAGAAACGGCCCCAACUCCUAAGGGAGGCAGCCGUAGGGAAUCUUCGGCAAUGGACGAAAGUCUGACCGAGCAAAGCCGCGUGAGUGAAGAAGGUUUUCGGAUCGUAAAACUCUGUUGGUAGAGAAGAACGUUGGUGAGAGUGGAAAGCUCAUCAAGUGACGGUAACUACCCAGAAAGGGACGGCUAACUACGUG